rnacentral:rRNA from 1 species
GAUGAACGCUGGCGGCGUGCCUAAUACAUGCAAGUAGAACGCUGAAGGAAGGAGCUUGCUCUUUCCGGAUGAGUUGCGAACGGGUGAGUAACGCGUAGGUAACCUGCCUGGUAGCGGGGGAUAACUAUUGGAAACGAUAGCUAAUACCGCAUAACAGUAGAUGUUGCAUGACAUUUACUUGAAAGGUGCAAAUGCACCACUACCAGGUGGACCUGCGUUGUAUUAGCUAGUUGGUGAGGUAACGGCUCACCAAGGCGACGAUGCAUAGCCGACCUGAGAGGGUGAUCGGCCACACUGGGACUGAGACACGGCCCAGACUCCUACGGGAGGCAGCAGUAGGGAAUCUUCGGCAAUGGACGGAAGUCUGACCGAGCAACGCCGCGUGAGUGAAGAAGGUUUUCGGAUCGUAAAGCUCUGUCGUAAGAGAAGAACGAGUGUGAGAGUGGAAAGUUCACAGGGUGACG